UACGUAGGGGGCAAGCGUUGUCCGGAAUCAUUGGGCGUAAAGCGCGUGUAGGCGGCCCGGUAAGUCCGCUGUGAAAGUCGGGGGCUCAACCCUCGAAUGCCGGUGGAUACUGUCGGGCUAGAGUGCGGGAGAGGCGAGUGGAAUUCCUGGUGAUAGCGGUGAAAUGCGCAGAUAUCAGGAGGAACACCAAUUGCGAAGGCAGCUCGCUGGAACGUAACUGACGCUGAGACGCGAAAGCGUGGGGAGCAAACAGG
rnacentral:rRNA from 1 species